UUCUUUCUCUCUCAAUUAAUAAAGAGUUAUUCUUUGUGUGGUCGUGGAGUAGACAAAAAUUGUCGAAUCACGUAAAUCUUGUCUUGUCUUGUGAAAUUUAUUGCUUCUCUCCUAAAUAUCAUUUUCAUUCUAUUAUCUUGACACGCUUCCUCAACACAAGUUUAUAUUUUAGUUAUGCUUUGGUAAGAUAACUUUAUGUGACUCAAAAAAUAGUGACUUUUAUGUUAUAAAACUUUAUUGGAUGACCAUCAGCGAAAUUUUUCCAAAAAGUAUCUCAUGAAUCAUGUAUGAAUGCUUCUUGAAAAUUCUUCUCAAAGCAUUUUCAAUAGGAAAAUUCGUCAUGUUAAAGAUGUUAGGCCUAUGGCAUGUUGGUCUAUUAUAUAUAAUUAAGUUGAUAGCAAAGAUUCUUGCUGCUAAGCUAUUUCCUAGUAGCCCCAUCUCAAUAUGCUUUUAUUAGGGAAGGCACGUUAUUCUUGAUAAUGCAAUUCUUGCACGUGAACAGAAGAGAUAUUCAAGAACUGGAGUGUCUCUAAUUACGUGUAUGAUUUAUUGGAUAUAAGAAAAACUUAAUUACGAUUCAGUAAAAUAGGGUUUUUUAAAGGAUGCUAUUACUUGAAUUUGGUCUUCCCCUGAAGCUGGACAAUUUUAUAAUGUGUUAUUCUCUGCUGAUAAAUAUUUGGCCUACUCUAACUUUCCAUGCAAAGAAAUGGCUAAGGCAAGAAGCUCGAAUGUUUCCUAAUUACCUCUUUGUGUUAGCAAUGAAGUACCUCAAUAAAUCACUGAAGCACAAUUCAGAUUUUAACUAUCACCCCAGAUGCUCAAAAAUGGAUUUAGUUCAUAUUUGCUUUGCUUAUGACCUUCUUAUGUGUUGCAGGGAUGACAGGAUUUCCAUUAAACUGUUGCAACUUUUAAUCACUACUCUGAAGUCUCUGGUCUUCAAGCAAAUUAACUUGGAGAAAAGCUCACUUUAUGUAGCUGGGUUAAGCCAUGAGUUCUGAACACAAAUAUAAUUAUCUUGGAAAACCUUUAUCUUAGAAAGCUUACAAUUAGGCAAGUGUAUGGCUCUAGUUGACCAGAUAAUUGGUAGAGUCAAAGGUCGGUCUACUAAGUUUCUGUCAUACAGUGGGAGAGAGUUCAACUUAUAAAGAGUGUGUUAGUAUUUGAGAUGCAAACAUAUUGAACCUAGGUGUUUUUGCUGCCAAAACUGAUCUUUAAACUGGUGACUAAUUUCUGUAUCAUGACCUUCUUAUGGACUGAUAGCAAUAAGUUACCAAUGAAAGCUUUAAAUUUCUUAGACUAGUAUUAGGGAAAAAUAAUAUAAUAUAUAGUAUUAGUUUUGGUAUUAUUAAUUUCUUGUUUUAUUUCAAC
rnacentral:lncRNA from 1 species